rnacentral:rRNA from 1 species
UGCAAGUCGAGCGGGGGAGGUAGCUUGCUACUGGACCUAGCGGCGGACGGGUGAGUAAUACUUAGGAAUCUGCCUAUUAGUGGGGGACAACGUUCCGAAAGGAGCGCUAAUACCGCAUACGCCCUACGGGGGAAAGCAGGGGAUCUUCGGACCUUGCGCUAAUAGAUGAGCCUAAGUCGGAUUAGCUAGUUGGUGGGGUAAAGGCCUACCAAGGCGACGAUCUGUAGCGGGUUUGAGAGGAUGAUCCGCCACACUGGGACUGAGACACGGCCCAGACUCCUACGGGAGGCAGCAGUGGGGAAUAUUGGACAAUGGGCGCAAGCCUGAUCCAGCCAUGCCGCGUGUGUGAAGAAGGCCUUAUGGUUGUAAAGCACUUUAAGCGAGGAGGAGGCUUACCUAGUUAAUACCUAGGAUAAGUGGACGUUACUCGCAGAAUAAGCACCGGCUAACUCUGUGCCAGCAGCCGCGGUAAUACAGAGGGUGCAAGCGUUAAUCGGAAUUACUGGGCGUAAAGCGCGCGUAGGUGGCCAUUUAAGUCAAAUGUGAAAUCCCCGAGCUUAACUUGGGAAUUGCAUUCGAUACUGGAUGGCUAGAGUAUAGGAGAGGAAGGUAGAA